rnacentral:ribozyme from 1 species
AAAUAACAGAAAAAGCAAAAAAAUAUAAAUGUGUAAAUACUACCUUGAGCAGAACGAUGAUCGCCAACAGCAUACUGAAAGUUCUCAUGUCUCAAACAAACUGGACAAUCGUCUUGCUGUCUGUCAUG